rnacentral:rRNA from 1 species
UACCAGCACCCCGAGUGGUCGGGACGAUUAUUGGGCCUAAAGCAUCCGUAGCCGGUCUUGCAAGUCUUCCGUUAAAUCCAGCUGCUUAACAGAUGGGCUGCGGAAGAUACUACAAGACUAGGAGGCGGGAGAGGCAAGCGGUACUCAAUGGGUAGGGGUAAAAUCCUCUGAUCCAUUGAAGACCACCAGUGGCGAAGGCGGCUUGCCAGAACGCGCUCGACGGUGAGGGAUGAAAGCUGGGGGAGCAAACCGG